UACGAAGGGGGCUAGCGUUGCUCGGAAUUACUGGGCGUAAAGCGCACGUAGGCGGCUUCUUAAGUCGGUGGUGAAAUCCUGGAGCUCAACUCCAGAACUGCCUUCGAUACUGGGAGCUCGAGUCCGGGAGAGGUGAGUGGAACUGCGAGUGUAGAGGUGAAAUUCGUAGAUAUUCGCAAGAACACCAGUGGCGAAGGCGGCUCACUGGCCCGAUACUGACGCUGAGGCACGGAAAGCGUGGG
rnacentral:rRNA from 1 species